rnacentral:rRNA from 1 species
ACUCCUACGGGAGGCAGCAGUGGGGAAUAUUGCACAAUGGGCGCAAGCCUGAUGCAGCCAUGCCGCGUGUAUGAAGAAGGCCUUCGGGUUGUAAAGUACUUUCAGCGGGGAGGAAGGCGAUAAGGUUAAUAACCUUGUCGAUUGACGUUACCCGCAGAAGAAGCACCGGCUAACUCCGUGCCAGCAGCCGCGGUAAUACGGAGGGUGCAAGCGUUAAUCGGAAUUACUGGGCGUAAAGCGCACGCAGGCGGUCUGUCAAGUCGGAUGUGAAAUCCCCGGGCUCAACCUGGGAACUGCAUUCGAAACUGGCAGGCUAGAGUCUUGUAGAGGGGGGUAGAAUUCCAGGUGUAGCGGUGAAAUGCGUAGAGAUCUGGAGGAAUACCGGUGGCGAAGGCGGCCCCCUGGACAAAGACUGACGCUCAGGUGCGAAAGCGUGGGGAGCAAACAGGAUUAGAAACCCCAGUAGUCCCAU